CCUACGGGAGGCAGCAGUGGGGAAUUUUGGACAAUGGGGGCAACCCUGAUCCAGCCAUGCCGCGUGAGUGAAGAAGGCCUUCGGGUUGUAAAGCUCUUUCAGCCGGGAAGAAAUCGCACAGGUUAAUACCCUGUGUGGAUGACGGUACCGGAAUAAGAAGCACCGGCUAACUACGUGCCAGCAGCCGCGGUAAU
rnacentral:rRNA from 1 species